rnacentral:tRNA from 1 species
GGAGUGGUGGCAGAGCGGUCGAAUGCGACUGUCCCGAAAGCAGCAGGGGCGCAAGCCCCCGGAGGUUCGAAUCCUCCCCACUCCGCGA